rnacentral:rRNA from 1 species
UCCGUAGGGUGCAAGCGUUAAUCGGAAUUACUGGGCGUAAAGCGUGCGCAGGCGGUUUUGUAAGUCUGUCGUGAAAGCCCCGGGCUCAACCUGGGAAUUGCGAUGAAGACUGCAAGGCUUGAAUCUGGCAGAGGGGGGUAGAAUUCCACGUGUAGCAGUGAAAUGCGUAGAGAUGUGGAGGAACACCGAUGGCGAAGGCAGCCCCCUGGGUCAAGAUUGACGCUCAUGCACGAAAGCGUGGGGAGCAAACAGG